rnacentral:rRNA from 1 species
UACGUAGGGUGCGAGCGUUGCCCGGAAUUAUUGGGCGUAAAGAGCUCGUAGGCGGUCUGUCGCGUCGAUCGUGAAAACUUGGGGCUUAACCCUGAGCUUGCGGUCGAUACGGGCAGGCUAGAGUUCGGUAGGGGAGAUCGGAAUUCCUGGUGUAGCGGUGAAAUGCGCAGAUAUCAGGAAGAACACCCGUGGCUAAGGCGGCUCUCUAGUACGGUACUGACGCUGAGACGCGAAAGCGUGGGGAGCGAACAGG